rnacentral:rRNA from 1 species
UACGUAGGGUGCGAGCGUUGUCCGGAUUUAUUGGGUUUAAAGGGUGCGUAGGCGGCCUGGUAAGUCGGCGUUGAAAGACAGUGGCUCAACCAUUGAGACGGCACCGAUACUGCCAGGCUAGAGAGGCGACGAGGUUAGCGGAAUUGGUGGAGUAGCGGUGAAAUGCAUAGAUACCACCAGGAACCCCGAUAGCGAAGGCAGCUAACUGGUCGUCAUCUGACGCUGAGGCACGAAAGCGUGGGGAGCAAAGAGG